GUGCAUGCGCAUGCUACACAUGCAGUCGAACGAAGGCUUCGGCCUUAGUGGCGCACGGGUGCGUAACGCGUGGGAAUCUGCCCUUUGCUUCGGAAUAACUUCGGGAAACUGAAGCUAAUACCGGAUAAUGUCGCAAGACCAAAGAUUUAUCGGCAAGGGAUGAGCCCGCGUAGGAUUAGGUAGUUGGUGGGGUAAAGGCCUACCAAGCCGACGAUCCUUAGCUGGUCUGAGAGGAUGAUCAGCCACACUGGGACUGAGACACGGCCCAGACUCCUACGGGAGGCAGCAGUGGGGAAUAUUGGACAAUGGGGGCAACCCUGAUCCAGCAAUGCCGCGUGAGUGAUGAAGGCCUUCGGGUCGUAAAGCUCUUUUACCAGGGAUGAUAAUGACAGUACCUGGAGAAUAAGCUCCGGCUAACUCCGUGCCAGCAGCCGCGGUAAUACGGAGGGAGCUAGCGUUGUUCGGAAUUACUGGGCGUAAAGCGCGCGUAGGCGGCUACUCAAGUCAGAGGUGAAAGCCCGGGGCUCAACCCCGGAACUGCCUUUGAAACUAGGUGGCUA
rnacentral:rRNA from 1 species